UACGUAGGGUGCGAGCGUUAAUCGGAAUUACUGGGCGUAAAGCGUGCGCAGGCGGUUUUGUAAGUCAGAUGUGAAAUCCCGAGGCUUAACCUCGGAACUGCGUCUGAAACUACUCGACUAGAGUACUGGAGAGGGAAACGGAAUUCACGGUGUAGCAGUGAAAUGCGUAGAUAUCGUGAGGAACACCAGAGGCGAAGGCGGUUUCCUGGACAGUUACUGACGCUCAGGCACGAAAGCAUGGGGAGCAAAAGGG
rnacentral:rRNA from 1 species